rnacentral:rRNA from 1 species
CCCCAACUUCGGGAGGGGUGUAUUUAUUAGAUAAAAAACCAAUGCCCUUCGGGGCUCUUUGGUGAUUCAUGAUAACUUAACGGAUCGCAUGGCCUUGCGCCGGCGACGGUUCAUUCAAAUUUCUGCCCUAUCAACUUUCGAUGGUAAGGUAUUGGCUUACCAUGGUUUCAACGGGUAACGGGGAAUUAGGGUUCGAUUCCGGAGAGGGAGCCUGAGAAACGGCUACCACAUCCAAGGAAGGCAGCAGGCGCGCAAAUUACCCAAUCCCGACACGGGGAGGUAGUGACAAUAAAUACUGAUACAGGGCUCUUUUGGGUCUUGUAAUUGGAAUGAGUACAAUUUAAACCCCUUAACGAGGAACAAUUGGAGGGCAAGUCUGGUGCCAGCAGCCGCGGUAAUUCCAGCUCCAAUAGCGUAUAUUAAAGUUGUUGCAGUUAAAAAGCUCGUAGUUGAAACUUGGGCCUGGCUGGCCGGUCCGCCUCACCGCGUGUACUGGUCCGGCCGGGCCUUUCCUUCUGGAGAGCCUCAUGCCCUUCACUGGGUGUGUUGGGGAACCAGGACUUUUACUUUGAAAAAAUUAGAGUGUUCAAAGCAGGCCUUUGCUCGAAUACGUUAGCAUGGAAUAAUAGAAUAGGACGUGCGAUCCUAUUUUGUUGGUUUCUAGGACCGCCGUAAUGAUUAAUAGGGAUAGUCGGGGGCAUCAGUAUUCAAUUGUCAGAGGUGAAAUUCUUGGAUUUAUUGAAGACUAACUACUGCGAAAGCAUUUGCCAAGGAUGUUUUCAUUAAUCAGUGAACGAAAGUUAGGGGAUCGAAGACGAUCAGAUACCGUCGUAAUCUUAACCG